rnacentral:lncRNA from 1 species
CAACCUUUACCUACUUUCCCUUUCACCUACUUUCCAAUUCAUAACAUUCUCUAUCCCCUCGAGAAUGACCUUGUCCUCAAGGUUGAUGUUAAGCCUGCUGAGCCACAAAAUUUGGAAAAUGAUGCUUGAUAUACCCCCAUUCUUCCCAUAUAGCAUCCUAUUCCUUAAGAUUUGCCCACUGAUCAACACUUUAACCCCCACACCAUUAUCAAUCUUUACCACUUUCCGCUGCAAGAUAGUCACUGGCUGAAUCAGUACUUGACCGUUGGUAUCAUAUAUGGGUGGUUGAAGCUGAGGUUCAAUCGUCGGACCUAUUCUCUUCUUAAGCUGAGAUACAUGGAAUACUUGGUGAAGUUGAGAGCCUUCAGGAAGUUCCAAGAGGUAAGCUAAUAUUCCAAUUUCUUUAAUAUCUUGUAAGGACCAAAAUAACGAGCACACAACUUAACAUCCUUAUGAACCUCUAUUGAUGAUUGUGUAUAAGAUUGUAGCUUAAGAUAGACCUAGUCCCCUACCUCCAAAGUUCUAUCUGACCUUGAUCUAUCAGCAAAGAAUUUCAUGUGUGAUUGUGCUCGAGUUAGGUUGCCCUUAAGUGUCUGCACCAUGUGCUAUCGUUGUGCUAACCUCAUACUUGCCAUAGUCUGCUCGAGACUAGGUAGUGAGCCUAUUGGUAGUUGGGGAGGUGCAUACCCAAAUAAUGCCUCAAAAGGUGUGAUCUUUAGAGCACUGUGGUAGUUAGUGUUAUGCCACCACUCUACCAUGUGAAGCAACUUAACCCACUGUUUAGGAUUAUCAAAGACCAUAACUCUUAGGUAAGAUUCACCUGUUGAGUUUCUCCGUUUGGCCAUCUCUCUAAGGGUAAUAAACUGAACUUAAAUUGAAUUUGGUACCUAUAGAUCUGAAAUGAUGCUACCAAAAGUGGCUAGUGAAAACUGGAUCUCUGCCAGAACUAUGGAUCAAAGAAUGCCAUGCAAUCCAUAAAUUUCCUUGAGAAAUAGUUCUGCUACAUCAUGUGUUAUAAAAGGAUGUUUAAGAGGCAUAAAAUGAUCAUACUUAGUGAAUCUAUCAAUCACCACCAAAACUGCAUUCUUCUGAUUUGAGUUGUCAGAAUCUUCUGGUCUCCUGGAUAGAGCAUCAGCUGCCCUGUUUUCAGAACCUUUCUUGUACUGAAUUUCAUAGUCAAGCCCCAAAAGUUUAGUGAGGCCCUUUUUCUGUAAAAAUGUGGUGAACUUUCGCUUUAAUAAGUAGUUAAGGCUAUGUUGAUAUGUUCUCACAAUAAUAUGUCCACAUUGUAAGUAAUGUCUCCAUUCAUCCACUGCUGUUAAGACUACAAUGUACUCUUUUCCAUAGGUAGAUAAUCCCAUAUUCUUAGUAGCCAAAGCGUUACUUAGAUAGGCUAUAGGUCUACCCUCUUGCAUUAGUAAAACUCCCAUUCAUGUGGAGCAUGCGUUUGUCUCUACAAUAAAGGUUUUGGUGAAGUCUACCAAUGCUAGUAUGGGUGUUGUGGACAUGGCUUUCUUCAGCUUCUAAAAAGCCUCUUCAUCCUCUUCAUUUUAUUGGAAUGAAUUCUUCUUAAAUAAGUUGGUUAACGGCCUACUAAUAAUUCCAUAGGACUUCACAAAUCUUCCGUAGUAGCAUGUAAGACCUAGAAAUCUCUUGAGUGACUUGAUUGACUUAGGUGUAGGCCAAUUCAUCAUAGAGUUUAUCUUGGCAAGAUCAGUAGCUACCCCUUGACUAGAGAUAAUUUAGCCCAAAAACUCCACCUUAUCUUACCCAAAGGCACACUUGGAUAGUUUAGCAUAGAGUUUUUCCUUUUGUAAAACUUGUAGGACUUGUCUGAGAUGAUCUACAUGGCUGUCCACUGUUGGACUGUAAACUAAGAUGUCAUUAAAUAAAACUAGGACAAAAUUUCUUAGAAAAGGUCUGAAAACAUGGUUCAUCAGACUCUGAAAGGUUGUAGGGGCAUUUGUCAAUCCAAAAGGCAUGACUUUAAACUCUUAGUGUCCUAAAUGUAAUUUUAUAGAUGUCAGACCUCUCCAUCCUAAUUUGAUGAUACCCAGCCCUCAGAUCAAUCUUGGAAUAUAUGGAGACCCCUCAAGUUCGUCCAUCAAAUCAUCUACUAAAGGAAUAGGAAAUUUAUCCUUUAUGGUCAUCUUGUUUAGCUCUCUAUAAUCAAUGCAGAACCUCCAACUCCCAUCCAUUUUCUUCACUAAUAGUACAUGUGAGGAAAAAGGAGAAUGACUUGGCUGUAUAUUUAACAUAUCAUUGACUUGCUUUUCUAUUACAUUUUUCUGGAAGUGAUUAUACACGUAAGGUUUAAUACUCACUUUUGUUACAUUAGGUUUGAGAGGAAUAGAAUGAUCAUGGCUCCUCUGUGGUGGAAAAGUCUUUGGUUCUUCAAACACAUCUGGAAAUUCCUCUAGAAAUUAUAUUCCCUUGUAUUUCAGCAUCCUUAGCAGUAAUUGGAAAUAAAUGAGCCCACAACACCUUUCCCUUUUUGAGAAGUUGUUUUACUCCACCAACUGUCAUGCUAUGGAGCUUCCCUUCUUCAAAAUAUCCAUUAAGGUUUACCCUUUCCCUUCCACACUCACUUGUAACUUGUAUUCAAUGAAAUCAAACAGAAUGAGAUUAUAUUUCUUCAUCCAAUCCACACCUUAGACCACAUCACAUCCCCCAAUAUCCGAUAACCUUAGCUUGUGUUAAAACUCUGUCCCUUGAGUCUUCCGGUUAAAUUGGGGAAUGAAUUGGUAACUCAUAGGUUGCCCCAUUAGCCACAGCUACUCUCAUAGGUGCAUCAUCUUUAACUAUGCACCCUAGGUGUUUGGCAGUCUCUCUAGCUAUGAAAUUGUUGGUGUUUCCACUGUCUGCUAAUAUAGUCAACAUUUUCUUCCCAUACAUCCCCCUAAGCUUAGUAAUAGUAGAAUUUAUGUGCCUAGAAGUGCAUUAAGACUGAUGGCCUCAUCCAAUAUCUCUUCCAUCAUCCCAUUAGGCACAACCUCACCUUCUGUACUUAGCUCUGUAAUUUCUUCCUUUUGUUCAGUACUUUCAGAUAAUGUAUUUAGCUGCCUAUUCUUGCACACAUGGCCUGGAAAAUACUUUUGUCUACAUUUAUACCAUUCACCCCUUGCAUUCCUAGCUUCAAACAACUUAGUUCCUAAAAAAGUUGUAUUAGAAGUACAUUGUUUUUGUGAGUUUCCCACAUUUUUGUUCCAUGCUGCUAGAUUAGAUCCUUGAUACUGCCGUAUACUCCUCACACCACUUAACAUGAUCUUCUUGGCCAUGGUAUCAAUCAAGUUCUCCUUGUGCCUAGCUUUUUCCAGAGCAUGACUUAAGAAAUAUGGACCAAGCAUCUUCAUAGUGUGCCUAAUUUCUUCUUUCAAACCUUCAAUAAAGAACUCUAGGAAGAAUUCUUCAGGUAUAGUUGGGUAUUUUAUCAACACCCAGUCCUUCAAAUCUUCGAACCUCUCUAAGUAUUCAUUGAUAGUUCCCUUUGUGCUACCCGUUUAAAUUUUCCCAACAACUUCAAGUUACUAUUAUCAGAUUCAUUAAAUCUCUAGCAGAUUUCUUCAAUAAAUCUAACCAUCUCACAAUUCCUCUAUUCAAUUGAUAAGAAAAGUACCAAGACUCGGCCCUCCCAUUAAGAUGAAGAACAACUGAUUCUAAUUUCUGUUGUGGGUCUGCAAUAUGGUUGUGAUGAAAAUACAUUUCACAUUUGUGCAGCCAUGAUCAAGGAUCUCCUUCCUCAAAGUAUAGGAACUCCACUUUAGAAGUAAAAUUGUUCACUAGAUUUCGUCCAGUCUGCUGCUCCGGUGGUUCUGCUCUCCUCAUCUGCUUCGAGAACCUUCUAAUUGAAGACCAUCAUUUGGUGGACUCCCCAAAAUGUCGUCCCUGUGUGAAAAGGGUUUCUCCAUCAUCACAUCAAAUUUUCUGUUCAGAUCAUCCAUAUUUGAGUCAUUGGACUCCAAUUUUUUAUUUUGUUUCAGCCAUGUAACUUUGUAACUGAUUUUCAAAUUUCUUUACAUUCUCCUAAGUUGUUUUAGCUCUUGUCUCUAUAAUAGUCAUGGCACCAGGACAGGGAUUUGAUACCAAAAUUUUAUGGCUUGAUUUAAUUUCUCCAUCAUCACAUCAAAAAAUUUUCUCUUCAGAUCAUCCAUCUUUGAGUCAUUGGACUCCAAUUUUUUUAUUUCGUUUCAGUCAUGUAACUUUGUAACUGAUUUUCUAAUUUCUUUAUAUUCUCCCAAGUUGUUUUUGCUUUUGUCUCUAUAAUAGUAACGGCACCAGAACAUGGCUUUGAUACCAAAUUAUUAAGGCUUGAUUCAAUCAAGAAACUAGUGGAAAUUAAAAGAAUUCAAAAGGAAAAACUGGAACUCCUUAUUUAAUCAAUGGAUGGUAAUCACCAUUAUUACAUGCAG